AUUGAACGCUGGCGGCAUGCCUUACACAUGCAAGUCGAACGGCAGCGGACCUUCGGGUGCCGGCGAGUGGCGAACGGGUGAGUAAUAUAUCGGAACGUACCUUUCAGUGGGGGAUAACGUAGCGAAAGUUACGCUAAUACCGCAUAUUCUGUGAGCAGGAAAGCAGGGGAUCGCAAGACCUUGCGCUGAUUGAGCGGCCGAUAUCAGAUUAGAUAGUUGGUGAGGUAAAGGCUCACCAAGGCGACGAUCUGUAGCGGGUCUGAGAGGAUGAUCCGCCACACUGGAACUGAGACACGGUCCAGACUCCUACGGGAGGCAGCAGUGGGGAAUUUUGGACAAUGGGCGCAAGCCUGAUCCAGCCAUGCCGCGUGAGUGAAGAAGGCC
rnacentral:rRNA from 1 species